AAUGAACGUUGGCGGCGUGGAUUAGGCAUGCAAGUCGAGCGAGAAGCCCCCUUCGGGGGUGGGACAGCGGCGAAAGGGAGAGUAACGCGUGGAUUACCUACCCCCGGGACUGGGAUAGCUGCGGGGAAACUGCAGGUAAUACCGGAUAAUGUCCCCGGACCAAAGGUGAGAUUCCGCCUGGGGAUGGGUCCGCGUCCUAUUAGCUAGUUGGUGGGGUAACGGCCUACCAAGGCAACGAUGGGUACGAGGUGUGAGAGCAUGACCUCGCUCACUGGGACUGAGACACUGCCCAGACACCUACGGGUGGCUG
rnacentral:rRNA from 1 species